rnacentral:rRNA from 1 species
AACGAACGCUGGCGGCAUGCCUAACACAUGCAAGUCGAACGAGACCUUCGGGUCUAUUGGCGCACGGGUUCGUAACGCGUGGGAACCUUCCCUUAUGUUCGGCAUAACUCCCCGUAAGGGGUGCUAAUACCGGAUAAUGUCUUCUGACCAAAGAUUUAUGGCCUUUGGAUGUUCCCGCGUUGGAUUAGCUAGUUGUUAGGGUAAAAGCAUACCAAGGCGACGAUCCAUAGCUGGUCUGAGAGGAUGAUCAGCCACACUGGGAGUGAGACACGGCCCAGAAUCCUACGGGAGGGAGCAGAGGGGGAUAUUGGAAAGUGGGCGGAAGCAUGAUCGAGCAAUGACGCGUGAGUGAUGAAGGUAUUAGGGUUGUAAAGCUCAUGUAACCGGGAUGGUAAUGACAGUACCGGGAGAAUAAGCCCCGGCUAACUCCGUG